GCGGAGACAAGUUCAAAAAAGUGUAUAAUAUCAUAAUAUCUCCAAUUUUAUUAUAUUGAUCGACACGUUGAGAGGAUUUGUGAGGGAAAAUAAACCCCAAUGAAGAGAAUGUCACGAGAAGGCACGACCUGUUGAACCUCCGUCAUCAUUUAAACGCUUUAUUAGGUGUUUUUUUUUUUUUUUUUUUUUUUUCGUCGAGUUUGCGAUCUGACUGCAGUCCGGUCGGUCUCGAGAGGGAGGCGCGAGACGGGCGCUAGUUGAGUUGAGUCGAGUUGAAGCGUCGAGGCGAGGCGAGGCGGGGGCGGGGAGCGCGCGGUGCGCUCUCGCGCCAAUGAGGGCAUCCCGGGCUUGGCAGGAACGCGUCCACGUGACCGUGGAGAGCACCGACACACGCCGGCGGGGCUCCUUCUCAAACACACCGCCGACAGGAGGAGAAGCGCGAAGGGGAGCGAGCGACAGAGAAGACGUCCACGGUGACACACACUCGUCCACACACCUCCUCGACGUGCAGAAGAUGGACGGCUACACGCGCACCGAAGACGAGCUCUUCCCCUCAUGCCUGCUCACCUCCACCUGGGAGAACCCCCACCACGAGCAGAGUGUUCAGGUUUUGAGAUGAGCAACGUGAGCAGCACACGUGUCACUCCACCGACGAUGGGC
rnacentral:lncRNA from 1 species